rnacentral:rRNA from 1 species
AUUGAACGCUGGCGGCAGGCCUAACACAUGCAAGUCGAACGAGCGGCGGACGGGUGAGUAAUGUAUGGGGACUGCCCGAUAGAGGGGGAUAACUACUGGAAACGGUGGCUAAUCCCGCAUACUAUCGGAUAACCCAUAUGGGAUUAGCUAGUAGGUGGGGUAAAGGCUCACCUAGACGACGAUCUCUAGCUGGUCUGAGAGGAGGAGCAGCCACCCUGGGACUGAGACACGGCCCAGACUCCUCCGGAGGCAGCAUGGGGGAUUAUUGGACAAUGGGCGCAAGCCUGAUGCAUCCAUGCCGCGUGGAUGAAGAAGUCCUUAGGGUUGUAAAGUACUUUCAGCGGGGAGGCGUUACCCGCAGAAGAAGCACCGGCUAACUCCGUGCCAGCAGCCGCGGUAAUAC